rnacentral:Y_RNA from 1 species
AGCUGGUCCAAAGGUAGUGAAUUACAUCCCUUGAUUGUUCACAGCCAGUUACAGACAGAACUCCCUGUUCUACUCUUUCUCUCCUUCUCACUAUUGCACUUGACUAGUAAAAA